UAGAGUAUCCUGCCCUCACGGGUAGAUCUCCCACCCUUGUGUAUAAUAUUUUGUUGCUUCGGCGGGCCCGUGGCUCACGCUACAUAGUGCCCGCCAAAGGACCUGAAAACUCUGAAUUAAAGUGUCGUCUGAGUACUAUAUAAUAGUUA
rnacentral:misc_RNA from 1 species